GAAACCCGGUGAUCUAGCCAUGGGCAGGUUGAAGGUUGGGUAACACUAACUGGAGGACCGAACCGACUAAUGUUGAAAAAUUAGCGGAUGACUUGUGGCUGGGGGUGAAAGGCCAAUCAAACCGGGAGAUAGCUGGUUCUCCCCGAAAGCUAUUUAGGUAGCGCCUCGUGAAUUCAUCUCCGGGGGUAGAGCACUGUUUCGGCUAGGGGGUCAUCCCGACUUACCAACCCGAUGCAAACUGCGAAUACCGGAGAAUGUUAUCACGGGAGACACACGGCGGGUGCUAACGUUCGUCGUGAAGAGGGAAACAACCCAGACCGCCGGCUAAGGUCCCAAAGUCAUAAUUAAGUGGGAAACGAAGUGGGAAGGCUCAGACAGCCAGGAUGUUGGCUUAGAAGCAGCCAUCAUUUAAAGAAAGCGUAAUAGCUCACUGGUCGAGUCGGCCUGCGCGGAAGAUGUAACGGGGCUAAAUUAUGCACCGAAGCCGCGGCAGCGAUAUGUAAAUAUUGUUGGGUAGGGGAGCG
rnacentral:rRNA from 2 species